CCCCCCACCGCCGUGUGCCUGCUCUGUCCCCGGGGCCCCAGUUCACCUCUCAGCCGCCGCCUCCUCAGGGAAGCCCUCCCUGAUACACACUCUCGUCCCUCCACAUGUCUCGCUUUUGAAGCACCGUAUGCUCACGUCAUGAACUUCGUCUCUCCCGGGAGUCUGUGGGCUCCUGGUUGGGCCAGGGCCUGCCCCGCCUGGCCACUGCCACCGCCACUGCCUGGCACACGCCUUGUGAGCCGGGGCAGGUCACUUACCUCUUUGAGACUCAGUUUCCUCAUCGGUAACAUGAAUACGAGGUUCACAGGCCGCUGGGAUGGAUACCUGCCUGCCCACCACCCAUCCUCUCUUCCGGGAUCUGCACACUGAUUCUUCCUCGGGGACCAUCCUCCCGCCUCCUGCAGUCGGUGAAGUUUGAGAGAGAACCCUUCCCCCAGCUGUCUCAAGGGCACAGGACCCAGGCGUGGCCAAUCAAAGAACGCCACCCCCUGGUCUUAUGAUUGGUUCAGGAACGUGCAUGUAACCCAAGUGCAAUCAGUGAUAAUGAGCUCUGGAACUUGUGCUUGAGCUGUUGGGAAAGAGUUAUUUUGGUCUGUUCAUGGGGUUAUUUGUGUUUGUGUGUUUGGGGGUGGGAGUGAGGGAGUUUCUGCUACGGUUCUGAGAGAAUAAGAUAGCUCUGGAACUGCCCAGAGUCCUUCAAAUAGAGCCUGCUUGAAGACGAAAGCAGAGUCAGGAGAAGCCAAGUCCUAAUGACAUUAUUUGAGCACCUGGAUCCAGCUAUGCCUGAAGGCGGAAUUGAGCUUUUUGGUGCCUAGCACAUAAUAAGUAUGAUACAAAUAGUGGCUGUUAUUAGCAGCAUAGAGUCUGGUAGACAGUAGGUGCUUGGCAAUGUUAGUUCCUUUCUCCUUUCACUCCCAUGCCCCUGAAAACAUUGUAGAAUUACUGCCAUCCCUCUUUCUGCCGAUUACAAAUGCUUCACAGUGCAUCGUGGGGCCCCGUUCAGGGCAUGAGCAAAAUGUGUUAAUGACGGAACGUCUGUCAGAGCAUUUUCCCAUCAAGCUGUUCUUCUUCCCCCACUGAAGACACUCAGGGGACAAGACAGAUGCUGAAAAUAAUGAGGCCCAGAGCUGCCAUGAUCUCUGCCUGGCAAAUUCACAGCUUCCAGACAUUCAGGCCCUGGGACAGCCUCGGGGUGGGGAGAAGGGGGAUAGGGAACCUCAGAGGUAUUCGGGUGCUGACACGUCUCCAUCGCGCCAACAGUGGGUGCUAGGGACCGAGAGCUGAGGGCACGCCCCAAUCUGCGGGGGUAGUCGGGCUAUGAGUGCAUUUAGUGUAUGCCUGCUGGAUGCUCGGAUGCUGGGGGUACCGU
rnacentral:lncRNA from 1 species